GCAAAAGCGGUAUGAUNNUNAAUUNAANGNCNNACGGGUGAGUAAUGCCUAGGAAUCUGCCUGGUAGUGGGGGACAACGUUUCGAAAGGAACGCUAAUACCGCAUACGUCCUACGGGAGAAAGCAGGGGACCUUCGGGCCUUGCGCUAUCAGAUGAGCCUAGGUCGGAUUAGCUAGUUGGUGAGGUAAUGGCUCACCAAGGCGACGAUCCGUAACUGGUCUGAGAGGAUGAUCAGUCACACUGGAACUGAGACACGGUCCAGACUCCUACGGGAGGCAGCAGUGGGGAAUAUUGGACAAUGGGCGAAAGCCUGAUCCAGCCAUGCCGCGUGUGUGAAGAAGGUCUUCGGAUUGUAAAGCACUUUAAGUUGGGAGGAAGGGCAGUAAAUUAAUACUUUGCUGUUUUGACGUUACCGACAGACUACGC
rnacentral:rRNA from 1 species